AUUUCUAAUAAUUUUUAUGUGAAUAAUACAAUUGUAGAAUCACAGAAUAAUUUCAGUUGGAAGGAACCGAAAGCUCAAGCAUUGAGUUUUGAGUGUCUCCAAGGAUGGAGAUCCCACCUCCUCUCUGGGCAACCUGUGGCAGUGUUAGACCACCCUCAUGGUGAAAUAUUUUCCUUUUAUCUAACCAGAAUUUUCCUUAUUUCAAAUUCUGACAGUUGCUCUUGUUAUUUCACUGUGCAUCUCUGGGAAGAGCCUGGCUCUGUCUUCUUUGUAAUCCCCUUUAGGUAAUGUAAGGCUGCAUUAGGUCACCCUCCAAUAGACUGCUCUUCUCAGCUCCUCAGACUUUCUGUGAGGACCACGUGCUUCAGCCUCCUCACCAUUUUAAUAGCUAUCCACUGGACUUUUCCCAUGUGUGGAUGUGUCUCUUGCACUGGGGAGCCCAAGGCUGGACACAGUGCUUCAGAUGCAGCCUCAUGAGUACUGAGUAGAGGGAAAUGGUCUUUUCCCUCGACAUGAUGGGUACACUCCUGCUUACAUGGCAAGAGUGUACCCAUGUGCGUACCCAGCCCCGUGUGGCUGGCCCUCACCCCCUUUAAUGAAGCUCUGAAGAAGCAAUAAUGCGUUAGUCACGGUGUUUGAAGGGAAAAUUCCAUCACUGAUAGAAUUGCUUGAAUAUUUGACUUUUCAGGCAACCUCAAUUCUGUAUUUGCUGAGAAUAAAACUAAGAGGAUGUCUUGAGAAAUGAGAAAGAAGGAAAGGGAUCCCAACCUGUUAGAGGUGCUCAGCCUCAGUGAAAGGCAUGGACAAAUAUUGAUUGGAGGUACUGCAUGUCUUUAGUUCCCAUUCAAGUCAAGGAUCUCCUGAGUUAUAAGCAGAAAUCUAGCCCAGCCAUUGGGAUGGGCAGUGUUUGACCCAUACGCUUUUGCCCCAGAGUGCAGGCUGCUGCAUUGCCAGGAGCACUGCAGGCGCAGUCCUCUGCAGUGGUAGAGCCCCUGUGCCUUCUCUGCCCGUCCUUCCAUGUAGAGGACAAGACACCUGCAGAAGACGGGGCAACCUCCAUUUUUGCAGACACUCGAACUCCUUGCUGAUGGGUGAUCUCCAGCGUGUCACCCGCUCCCAUUACAGCUUGGAAGAAAACUGAGAGAGGCUGCAAAAAUUAGGUACAUUUUGAUAACCGCUUUCAGAGGGCUUGCGUGAAAGCAUUAGCACUGCAAAGCCUGCAUCUCCUACUAUCAUCAUACUUUCCUUGCUGGGCUCCUUGCAUCAUCCCAAAGCUGGUGCAUGCUCCUCAGUGGUAGUCGUUAAUCACUUGAAUGCCUUCUGACAACGUGUGCUCGUUCACCUAACUGGGGAUAUGACUAUGCUGCUGUCAUGUGCUAUGUGCUGUGCAUCGUGACUCAUGCCUGACUGCCCUUUGGUGAAGUAUCGAAAUGCCCUGGGGGGUUUCUGUGCUGGCCCUCCAGUUCCUGCGCCGCACUCUCGCAAUGGCUGGAGAGAUUUUUAGCUGCCCAGCAGCACUAGCACUGCUUGCAGGCUGCUGGCUGGACGCCGGUGCUGAUAAGAGGGCUUGUGGAUGUUCAUUUACCAAUGUCAUUAUUGAACUGCUUGCAGUUGCCAUAGAAAUCUAUGACACAUAAAUCUGACUUAGCCUUCUCCCCCCCCCCUUUUUUUUUAUAUUAAACAAGGAAAAAUGCAGAGUUAAAGCUGCUUUUCUGAGAAGCUGGGCUGGAAACUCUUGGCUCUCAAGUGGUGGUUUCAGAUACCGAUGCUGGCCCUGAUCUUAUGGCGGGUGCCUGGCUCCUGUGGAAAUGUGAGUCCCAGCUGAGAGUGGAACACCUGAGAAGAGGAGGUCCUUUGCCAUGUUGCCCAGCGUUUCUGGGAGAAACUGCUCCUUCUCACAUGGGGCUGCUGGACAAAAUUCAAAGCAACCCUCUACUCACCUUUGCAAGUCCUUAUUUAUGGGCUGUGGGCCGCUGAGGAAGCGCUGAUGCUUUCGCCUGCUGACGACUUCAGGAGAUGCUCCACAGCUUGUGAGACAGAGGCUGCUGGCCAGACUCGUUAAAAAAACAGGCCUCGAAACCACACAUAAGACUGUGGCCUGAGCUUCCCAGGUGUCCAGCAUGUGCGGCUUCCCCUGCUUGUGCUCGGCAUUUCCGACAAACGGGCACAGUCCCUGGGCUGAACCUCACAGUAAAUGUAGGCGUCAGCUUAACUUCAGACACAGCCUGGAAGGUCUUGGCCUUUGGACCUGAGCGAACGGGAACUUCUCCGUUGAUUUCAGCGAGGGAAAGGUCAGCCCACGGGGUGGUGUUUCAGCAGCAGAGCAGCGUGGCUCGCAUGCGAACCACGGCUGAGUUUCAAAGGCAGUGGAGAUCAAAGAGAAAGGCUUCAGACAAAGCCGCAGCACCCGGCCAUGGGCGCGUUAAUAAUUCGGAAGCAGGCACGGGUGAGACUAGCCGAGCGCAAGCACCGAAGGACUCGCAGGGCUUGCCAGGUGAGCAUGGCCGGGGCAAGGGGCUCUCGCAGCGGGGUUUGCACCCACCUGCUCUCCUGGGGAGCCGGCGGGUGGGCUCGUGCCUGCUCCCCCCCAUCUGUGGGGCCUGGAGGCAUGACUCAGACUCAUGGACAGGAGAUAUACUCAUUACAAGCACAUCCUCAGGAAUAAAAACUCUGUUUUUUGCUGGGUAUGUAUGGAAAGUCUUUGGAAAGUCAUGAUUACAUAUUACAUUAUAUAUACAUAUACAUAUAUUUUGUGUCUGGGGGGGGGGGGGAGCAGUGGGCAUAUACACAAACCUGAACCUCAGCAAGCCCAGCUGAGAAAAGGCAUUUUCUCUCUAUGACGGGUAAAAAUUAUUAAUAAAUAUUAUUGGAUAA